AUUGAACGCUGGCGGCAGGCCUAACACAUGCAAGUCGAGCGGCAGCGGGAAAGUAGCUUGUUACUUUUGCCGGCGAGCGGCGGACGGGUGAGUAAUGCCUGGGGAUCUGCCCAGUCGAGGGGGAUAACAGUUGGAAACGACUGCUAGUACCGCAUACGCCCUACGGGGGAAAGCAGGGGACCUUCGGGCCUUGCGCGAUUGGAUGAACCCAGGUGGGAUUAGCUAGUUGGUGAGGUAAUGGCUCACCAAGGCGACGAUCCCUAGCUGGUCUGAGAGGAUGAUCAGCCACACUGGAACUGAGACACGGUCCAGACUCCUACGGGAGGCAGCAGUGGGGAAUAUUGCACAAUGGGGGAAACCCUGAUGCAGCCAUGCCGCGUGUGUGAAGAAGGCCCUCGGGUUGUAAAGCACUUUCAGCGAGGAGGAAAGGUUGGUAGCGAAUAACUGCCAGCUGUGACGUUACUCGCAGAAGAGC
rnacentral:rRNA from 1 species